GCACUUCAUCCUCCAGCCGAGUGAGCGCACCAGGAAGGGUACCCCACUAAGAGAGUGACCACCUUUCCUUUCUGCCACACUGUAUGUUUGAGAGGGAACAGAAGACGCCAGAACCAGCAAUGGUCAGGAUCCAGAGGGACUCCAGGGGACCGUCAGUCUUCCCGUCUCCAGGCUCCUCUGUGCUGCUGCCUCUGCCCUCAGCCAUGAUGGGGACAUGCCAGCAUGCGAAGCACUCUGGUGGGGGAGGAGGGGGUCCACUGUACUGUCCCUGCUGGGCUUGGGAGGGAGGACUGGCCAGAUGAGAAGGCAGGCACUCUGGUCAGGUAGUAUCAGCUGCUAAAGCAUGGUGAAUCCUCCACAUGACUCCUCCUGACACUUCACGGAGCCCUAAUCUCCACUUUUGGGGGGGGGCUCUAGGAGACUAGGGACCUGCCCAGGAGCCACAGCCGUGUCUGUCCCGCCCAUUCGAGCUGACUGGUGACAGAAUGGACUCCUUAAACCUGGGCCCUCUCCUCACAUUGCACCCUGAGCUUGUCACAGUCAGGUCUCAACCUGUCCCCUCCAUGGUGGCAGGCUAUGCCCUGAGGGGCAGACAAGACCAGGUGGCUGUUGGCAGCUGAAAUAGGCUUCCUGCUGGUAGGAGUGAGACUUCCACCUAAAGUUCUAGCCACCGCGAUGGCCAGCCAUUAAGACUGUCCUGAAACCAGAGCGAUGCCCCGCACAUACAAGAACACUUCUGCCCUCAGGCCUGGCCCAGGCGCAGGUCCUGGUCCUGCAGCAUGAGCAACAAGGGUGUGGAGGGGAAAAGGGCUUUUCCCGAAGCCCCAGAGGGGUCCAAGCACCUGCUUCUCUGCCUCUCCGACUCUAGAACUUUCUGGUUACCUAUUACAGAAGCUUCAAGCCAGGAAUGAAAACAGGAGAGUUCUGGUUGGGAGAUCCUCCCCUCGGAGGGAAGAAAAGCUGCCAGGUGGGGGUGGGGUGGGGUGGGGGUGGAGAGAGGUCCCUUAACAGGCACAGGUCUCCCUCUCACCACCUCUGGAGACCUUAGACAAAUGGCUAUCCUCCGCCUCAGGCAAGCUCAGUGAAGAGGCUAAGGAUGGAGGUGAAGCUGGGGUGACAGUCUUCUGGGGAGGGGGUCACUUCUCGAAGGGCAGCCUCUGCUGAGCACAGGCUCCCAAUCCAUGAGCCUGCCUUGCCAGGAGAACAGCUUGCUUGAAAUGCACGGCUGUCAUCCUGUAAUUAAAUCUGAGACCCCCCCCCUUCCUACAUGACGCCGAGAUGAAGCCACUUAUAUAACGCAACUAAAAAUAAGCUUGUGGAGACAUACACACUGCUGCUCCCCACCACCAGCCCGUCUCCAGAGCUGCCCACCCUGAACCAUGACCUGCAGUGCCGGGGAUCAGAGGCGGUGCCUGCCCUGGGCCUGCGCUCAGCAUCAUUCCUGUGGAGAGAGUGAGGCUGGGCUCAGGGAAGUGGACACGACACAUGGGUUUAUAGCUGGGGUGGCUGCAGAUCGCCACUCAGGGAGCACUGAGUGGGAAGGCCAGCAGCAUAUGGACAAUGGCCUGUCUCUGCUUCCGGUGACUUGUCCCAGAGCUGCUCAUUCACUGAGACCUGCUCCCUUCCAACCGGGAACCAGAACCAGCGAGCCCAACUCCCACCUUGGCAGAGUGUAAGAAGAGCUGGGGUAUAUCGGAAGGUCUGGGAGGUGUGUUGGCUGUCAGUCAUCGCCCUGGGUGACAGUUAUCACCAUUCCUCCUGGGAAGAUGCAGGAGGAGGCAAUGACAAUGGUUCCACCUUGACAAUAGCUCCCUCCACUCCGACAGACGGACGGAAGCGGGUGCAAGCUCACACACGGGCCACAAUUUCCUAGCUACCAGCCUACUGAACUUUUAGGAAUGUAAGCGGAUUCCUCAGCCGCCAGUGUAAUGGGAAAAGGAAUACGAUGAAGUUUGUAACGGGCUUUGGAUGAAAAGGAGUCAGGGAAAGAGUGGCCCCCUAAUCCACUCGGAGCCAGAGUCCUCCUGAUCUGUGUUCAUGCCGAGAACCCACCCACUCAGCAACCUGACCUCUGACCAUUGGUGCCCCCUACUAUUAAAGGAGCUGCUUCCUGGGUCAGAAAGGCUUCCGUGCUGAAGUCUGGAUCCAGGCUGUGGUCAGCCCCAAUAAAGAGCUGGAGGGGACACAACUCCUGUCUCUCUCCUGUCCCCUUCCAACCAAGGAAGUCCUGUCAUGACAGCCACUGUCACAGAGCUGCAGGCAGGUCGGAGACACUGUCACUCAGGUGUCCUGACACCCUCUUCCCACUGUGGGGUUCUGCUGCAGCUGGCCAGCCUCCCGCCUGGGACAUGGACAAGCCUGAGUCCGCCACCCACGUGAGAGUGUUCCUUGCACAGAAAUGGGGUGAGUGUGGGUAGGCGGGCCCAGGAAAGAGCCUUGGGAUGCUGUGGAAGGGGGAGUGGCCCAAGCCAUGGGAGCUUUUCUUGGGGGAGCUUCUCUGCCCUUUUCCAGACAGACCCCAAGCAUUUGCUGCCAGCCUCCACCUCUAGUUCUCCUCCAUGGCCUUGGCCUGGGGCAAGCAUGGAGGGGCUGCUUCUACCUCAGUGCACAGCUCCCUGUUGGCUUUCAGAUCUGUGAGGGGGUCAAUGUGUGCUUGAGUAGGUACCAUACCAUGCUGGUCUAAAUGGACUAGAGAGGGAGAUGGAGGGGCAGUUGUGACCAACCAGUCGCAAUGAACAGUGUUUGGCAGGUCCUUAUUGACAGCCAGUUAGUUUAAACUGGCUUUCUGUCACAAGAAGAACCCAAGAAAAUAGACAGAUACCCAGAGAUGUACAUUGAAGCUACACAGACGACAAGGAAACAGAGGACAGUGGGGCAAAUUUCUGUCCUGUGCUUUCUAAACCUUCCCUUCUCCUUCUCCUUACACAUGUAGCGAAGUGAAUAGGGGCCGUCUGAGUCCCCUGCUGUCUGAGGCUUGACAGCCGCGCCGUGGAUUUGUGUCCUCUGGGUUGUUGGAGUGGUGUAACCAGCUGUCCAGGAAAUGGAAGCUGGAGUGUUAUGUUUAAUUAAAAGGAAACAUUC
rnacentral:lncRNA from 1 species